rnacentral:rRNA from 1 species
GUCCCCAACUAGCGCAACCCUUAUCUUUAGUUGCCAUCAUUUAGUUGGGCACUCUAGAGAGACUGCCGGUGUCAAACCGGAGGAAGGUGGGGAUGACGUCAAGUCCUCAUGGCCUUUAUGAUCAGGGCUACACACGUACUACAAUGGUCGGUACAAAGGGCAGCGACAGGGCGACCUGUAGCGAAUCUCUUAAAGCCGUUCUCAGUCCGGAUUGGAGUCUGCAACUCGACUCCAUGAAGUUGGAAUCGCUAGUAAUCGUGGAUCAGCAUGCCACGGUGAAUACGUUCCCGGGCCUUGUACACGCCGCCCGUCACACCAC